UACGGGGGGGGCAAGCGUUGUUCGGAAUUACUGGGCGUAAAGGGCUCGUAGGCGGCCAACUAAGUCAUACGUGAAAUCCCUCGGCUUAACCGGGGAACUGCGUCUGAUACUGGAUGGCUUGAGUUCGGGAGAGGGAUGCGGAAUUCCAGGUGUAGCGGUGAAAUGCGUAGAUAUCGGGAGGAACACCGGUGGCGAAGGCGGUUCUCUGGGCCUUACCUGACGCUGAGGAGCGAAAGCGUGGGGAGCGAACAGG
rnacentral:rRNA from 1 species